rnacentral:rRNA from 1 species
AGUCGGACGGCAGCGGGGUAGUGCUUGCACUACUGCCGGCGAGUGGCGAACGGGUGAGUAACAUAUCGGAACGUACCGGGCAGUGGGGGAUAACUGAUCGAAAGAUCAGCUAAUACCGCAUAUUUUCUGAGGAAGAAAGCAGGGGACCUUCGGGCCUUGCGCUAUCCGAGCGGCCGAUAUCUGAUUAGCUGGUUGGCGGGGUAAAGGCCCACCAAGGCGACGAUCAGUAGCGGGUCUGAGAGGACGAUCCGCCACACUGGGACUGAGACACGGCCCAGACUCCUACGGGAGGCAGCAGUGGGGAAUUUUGGACAAUGGGCGCAAGCCUGAUCCAGCCAUGCCGCGUGUCUGAAGAAGGCCUUCGGGUUGUAAAGGACUUUUGUCGGGGAAGAAAAGGUCGGGGUUAAUACCCCCGGCUGAUGACGGUACCCGAAGAAUAAGCACCGGCUAA